rnacentral:rRNA from 1 species
UACGGGGGGGGUAAGCGUUGUUCGGAAUUACUGGGCGUAAAGGGCUCGUAGGCGGCCAACUAAGUCAGACGUGAAAUCCCUCAGCUUAACUGGGGAACUGCGUCUGAUACUGGAUGGCUUGGAUUGGGAGAGGAAUGCGGAAUUCCAGGUGUAGCGGUGAAAUGCGCAGAUAUCAGGAAGAACACCCGUGGCGAAGGCGGGAUCCUGGGCCAGUACUGACGCUGAGGAGCGAAAGCGUGGGGAGCAAACAGG